AUUUAGCCCCGAUAGAAACGAUAUCCUGUUGUGGCGUUUUUUGCCACAAUAGAUAUAGUGGAUAGCGGGACAAAAG
rnacentral:sRNA from 1 species